rnacentral:tRNA from 1 species
GGGGCCAUAGCUCAGCUGGGAGAGCGCUUGCAUGGCAUGCAAGAGGUCGCGAGUUCGAUCCUCGCUGGCUCCACCA